UUAAGCGACUAAGCGUACACGGUGGAUGCCCUGGCAGUCAGAGGCGAUGAAGGGCGUGCUAAUCUGCGAUAAGCGCCGGUAAGGUGAUAUGAACCGUUAUAACCGGCGAUACCCGAAUGGGGAAACCCAGUGUGACUCGUCACACUAUCAUUAACUGAAUCCAUAGGUUAAUGAGGCGAACCGGGGGAACUGAAACAUCUAAGUACCCCGAGGAAAAGAAAUCAACCGAGAUUCCCCCAGUAGCGGCGAGCGAACGGGGAGGAGCCCAGAGCCUGAAUCAGCAUGUGUGUUAGUGGAAGCGUCUGGAAAGGCGCGCGAUACAGGGUGACAGCCCCGUACACAAAAGCGCAUGUGCUGUGAGCUCGAUGAGUAGGGCGGGACACGUGGUAUCCUGUCUGAAUAUGGGGGGACCAUCCUCCAAGGCUAAAUACUCCUGACUGACCGAUAGUGAACCAGUACCGUGAGGGAAAGGCGAAAAGAACCCCGGCGAGGGGAGUGAAAAAGAACCUGAAACCGUGUACGUACAAGCAGUGGGAGCACAGGUUUACCUGUGUGACUGCGUACCUUUUGUAUAAUGGGUCAGCGACUUAUAUUCUGUAGCAAGGUUAACCGAAUAGGGGAGCCGGAGGGAAACCGAGUCUUAAUUGGGCGUUAAGUUGCAGGGUAUAGACCCGAAACCCGGUGAUCUAGCCAUGGGCAGGUUGAAGGUUGGGUAACACUAACUGGAGGACCGAACCGACUAAUGUUGAAAAAUUAGCGGAUGACCUGUGGCUGGGGGUGAAAGGCCAAUCAAACCGGGAGAUAGCUGGUUCUCCCCGAAAGCUAUUUAGGUAGCGCCUCGUGAAUUCAUCUCCGGGGGUAGAGCACUGUUUCGGCUAGGGGGCCAUCCCGGCUUACCAACCCGAUGCAAACUGCGAAUACCGGAGAAUGUUAUCACGGGAGACACACGGCGGGUGCUAACGUCCGUCGUGAAGAGGGAAACAACCCAGACCGCCAGCUAAGGUCCCAAAGUCAUGGUUAAGUGGGAAACGAUGUGGGAAGGCCCAGACAGCCAGGAUGUUGGCUUAGAAGCAGCCAUCAUUUAAAGAAAGCGUAAUAGCUCACUGGUCGAGUCGGCCUGCGCGGAAGAUGUAACGGGGCUAAACCAUGCACCGAAGCUGCGGCAGCGACACUGUGUGUUGUUGGGUAGGGGAGCGUUCUGUAAGCCUGUGAAGGUGUGUCGUGAGGCAUGCUGGAGGUAUCAGAAGUGCGAAUGCUGACAUAAGUAACGAUAAAGCGGGUGAAAAGCCCGCUCGCCGGAAGACCAAGGGUUCCUGUCCAACGUUAAUCGGGGCAGGGUGAGUCGACCCCUAAGGCGAGGCCGAAAGGCGUAGUCGAUGGGAAACAGGUUAAUAUUCCUGUACUUGGUGUUACUGCGAAGGGGGGACGGAGAAGGCUAUGUUGGCCGGGCGACGGUUGUCCCGGUUUAAGCGUGUAGGUGUGUGUUCCAGGUAAAUCCGGUUCACUUUAACACUGAGGCGUGAUGACGAGGCACUACGGUGCUGAAGCAACAAAUGCCCUGCUUCCAGGAAAAGCCUCUAAGCAUCAGGUAACAUCAAAUCGUACCCCAAACCGACACAGGUGGUCAGGUAGAGAAUACCAAGGCGCUUGAGAGAACUCGGGUGAAGGAACUAGGCAAAAUGGUGCCGUAACUUCGGGAGAAGGCACGCUGACACGUAGGUGAAGUGAUUUACUCAUGGAGCUGAAGUCAGUCGAAGAUACCAGCUGGCUGCAACUGUUUAUUAAAAACACAGCACUGUGCAAACACGAAAGUGGACGUAUACGGUGUGACGCCUGCCCGGUGCCGGAAGGUUAAUUGAUGGGGUCAGCGCAAGCGAAGCUCCUGAUCGAAGCCCCGGUAAACGGCGGCCGUAACUAUAACGGUCCUAAGGUAGCGAAAUUCCUUGUCGGGUAAGUUCCGACCUGCACGAAUGGCGUAAUGAUGGCCAGGCUGUCUCCACCCGAGACUCAGUGAAAUUGAACUCGCUGUGAAGAUGCAGUGUACCCGCGGCAAGACGGAAAGACCCCGUGAACCUUUACUAUAGCUUGACACUGAACAUUGAGCCUUGAUGUGUAGGAUAGGUGGGAGGCUUUGAAGCGUGGACGCCAGUCUGCGUGGAGCCGACCUUGAAAUACCACCCUUUAAUGUUUGAUGUUCUAACGUGGACCCGUAAUCCGGGUUGCGGACAGUGUCUGGUGGGUAGUUUGACUGGGGCGGUCUCCUCCUAAAGAGUAACGGAGGAGCACGAAGGUUGGCUAAUCCUGGUCGGACAUCAGGAGGUUAGUGCAAUGGCAUAAGCCAGCUUGACUGCGAGCGUGACGGCGCGAGCAGGUGCGAAAGCAGGUCAUAGUGAUCCGGUGGUUCUGAAUGGAAGGGCCAUCGCUCAACGGAUAAAAGGUACUCCGGGGAUAACAGGCUGAUACCGCCCAAGAGUUCAUAUCGACGGCGGUGUUUGGCACCUCGAUGUCGGCUCAUCACAUCCUGGGGCUGAAGUAGGUCCCAAGGGUAUGGCUGUUCGCCAUUUAAAGUGGUACGCGAGCUGGGUUUAGAACGUCGUGAGACAGUUCGGUCCCUAUCUGCCGUGGGCGCUGGAGAACUGAGGGGGGCUGCUCCUAGUACGAGAGGACCGGAGUGGACGCAUCACUGGUGUUCGGGUUGUCAUGCCAAUGGCACUGCCCGGUAGCUAAAUGCGGAAGAGAUAAGUGCUGAAAGCAUCUAAGCACGAAACUUGCCCCGAGAUGAGUUCUCCCUGAGACUUAGAGUCUCCUGAAGGAACGUUGAAGACGACGACGUUGAUAGGCCGGGUGUGUAAGCGCAGCGAUGCGUUGAGCUAACCGGUACUAAUGAACCGUGAGGCUUAACCUU
rnacentral:rRNA from 1 species